rnacentral:rRNA from 1 species
GGUGAAUGCUGGCGGCGUGGAUAAGUCAUGCAAGUCAAGGGGGCCCGCAAGGGCAACCGGCAAACGAGGUAGUAACACGUAGGUAGACCCCCCAGAGUCGGGCAUAGCCAGCCGAAAGGUUGGGUAAUUCCCGAUAGUCCCGAAAGGGUAAAGGUUUUUCGCUCUGGGAGUUGCCUGCGUAGUAUCAGCUAGUUGGUAGGGUAAUGGCCUACCAAGGCUACGACGCUUAGGGGAGCUGAGAGGCUGACCUCCACCGAUGGAACUGCGACACGGUCCAUACUCCUACGGGAGGCUGCAGACGAGAAUAUUCCGCAAUGGGCGAAAGCCUGACGGAGCGACGCCGCGUGAUUGAUGAAGUGCUUCGGUACGUAAAGAUCUUUUAUCGGGGACGAAGUUUAUUGACGGUACCCGAUGAAUAAGGGGCUCCUAACUCUGUGCCAGCAGCGCGGUAAU